CAGUAGCCGCGGUAAUACGAAGGGGGCUAGCGUUGCUCGGAAUGACUGGGCGUAAAGGGCGCGUAGGCGGCGAUCAAAGUCAGGCGUGAAAUUCCUGGGCUCAACCUGGGGGCUGCGCUUGAUACUUGGUUGCUUGAGUGGGGAAGAGGGUCGUGGAAUUCCCAAUGUAGAGGUGAAAUUCGUAGAUAUUGGGAAGAACACCGGUGGCGAAGGCGGCGACCUGGUCCUUGACUGACGCUGAGGCGCGAAAGCGUGGGGAGCAAACAGGAUUAGAUACCCCUGUAGUCCCUGUCUCUUAUAC
rnacentral:rRNA from 1 species